GAUCAUGGGUGUUCUCACCGAUAGUUUGCUUUGGGCAAUCAGUUCCGCAUCGGUAGAUGUAUUGUUUUGUUUUUAUGGGUGUUUGUGGCUUGUAAGAAUGAUUGAGAGAAAGAUGCAAAACAAAGUUUGAAGCCGGUUUGGGAAGAAAAGAAACUAGUCCUGCAAAUCCAUCUUGACUAUUCUGAGAAAAGAUGAAGUUCCUCAACUUUUAUAAGAGCGAGGUGGGUUUGCAAAAUCCGAGGAAAAAGAAAUAUUCACUGAAUUUAAAAUUUCAAGUGGUUCCAACUGAAGCUGACAGAAGAAUGCCCCCUUGCUACAAUACAAUUGGCUAGAAAUUAAAGAGGAUGGUUUCUGGGUUCGUUUACAGUGCAAGGUGUCGUUGGAGGAUAACUUGCAUCGCUUGUUCAAUUCGAUCAUGCUUAAAGUUUGGUCAGCAAAAUUAAUAAUAAGUUUUCCAAUUAUGUUGCGUUUUUUUAUUUCAACUAUUAAUAUGAGUUAUAGAUAUACUAAUUCUGUAAUUGAUUAGGAUGCUUUUUAAUUUAAUUAACCAUUAAAAUUUUUAAUUCAAUAAUAAAUAGUCUUUU